rnacentral:lncRNA from 1 species
CUGAAAUCCUGGCGUGACGUGGCUGGAUCUUGCACGAUCUGAGGACCCCUGCACUGAUGACUGGGACAGGUCCAGAUCUUUCCUAUAAAUAUAUUAAGAUUCGGAUCAGUCCUGAGCAGCAGUUAGGCCAACGCCACCCCUCGCUGCCCUGGCGCCGUCUCUCACCGACCUCAGCAGCUCUUCAUGCAGAUGACGGACCCCAUGGCGUCGGGUGGCUGAGAGGAUGCAGCUUCUCAGGACUCUGCACUGGAUGGCUGAUAGAUGGGAAGCAUUUCGGGUGUAAGGACCUUCCAGCGCUUCGCGGGUGCCACAGAAAGCUGACGCGAUACGGCGACCAUGACGACAUUGUAAUAGAGACAGAGGUGGCCUCGCGAGAAGAGCAGGUCCCGCCUUCAGGUGUUGGGUACUCAGCUGAGAUGGGAGACCCCACGGUGGGGGAUGAACGGCCCUGGGACGUGGAGGAGACAAAGGGACCCAGAUCCAAGGCGGGUCUUUCCCGCUUUGGGACUCAGAGUCCCGGCGGGCUCGUAGGGACGCGGGAGAUGACACAGGGAACGGCUCUCUCUGAGCCCCAGUUGCCCCCUCUGUUAAACGGGAUGAGAAUGCUCAAACCCCAGGAUCGCUGGGAGCGUUCAGUGACAACACCUCUUCAUGCUGCUGGCCGAGCUCCUAUCAGGCGUCUGAAGGAGGCAGCUUCUGAGGAUCUGUGUCUCCAUGACUGCUGAACCAUCUGCUCCAGAUUCAAGGGCAGCCAUCCUCAGGAGACCACGACACUUCACAUCCCUGCUUGGAUAUGAGGCCUGGUCCGAUGGGCCGUCAGAGGAGGGUGUGGACUCUGAGCCUCAGAAGCAGGAGCUGACAGAGAAGAACCAAGUGUGCUGGCGCGUGUGCAGACAGGUUCCUGGAGCAAGAGUGAGGAGAUCAGGGUCCCAUCACUGGGACACUUUAGAUAAUUUGCAAAGCCAUGUAGCCAGAGCAUGUGCAGAAGAAGAAAUCUUGACCUGAAAUGACCACAAAACUGGAGAUUCUCCUUCCCAUGGAACGAAAGCACCAGGGCAUGACCAGAACUUAAAAGUCAGAUUCAUAUCAGAAGCCAGGGUCCAUCAUUCAGGCAGAUCCUGUGUUAAAAUUACUUCCUCACAUUUCUAUAAAAGUUUAGAACCUGACCAUAAAUACUUGAAGUCCACCAAUCAAAACCUGUCCCGCAAGCAUUUCCACAUGCCAGGCUGUUCUCCCUAACCUCUAAAUUUCGCCCCAAAUCCUGAAGUGGGGAGACAGAUCAGAGGGUACAUGCCCCCAUCUCCCUCCAGAUCAAUCACACAGAAUAAAGCUGAUUUCUUUUCCCAAAUGAUGAUGCCAUAAUAAUUGGCUUCUAUUUUAAAAUAUUCAUCAAGUAGGAGAACCCCAUUUGUGUGGUAACAAAUUUUGGCAACCAAGAAGAGAGAAGGU